GCCUUCGUGGUGUAGUGGUCAGCACGCUCGACGCGUAUUCGAGAGGUCCGUGGUUCGAGACCCGGCGAGGGCA
rnacentral:tRNA from 1 species